GAUGAAUGCUAGCGGCAGGCUUAAUACAUGCAAGUCGUGGGGCAGCAUGAGUAGCAAUACUUGAUGGCGACCGGCAAACGGGUGCGGAACACGUACACAACCUUCCGAUAAGUGGGGAAUAGCCCAGAGAAAUUUGGAUUAAUACCCCGUAACAUAUAGAGUAGGUAUCUUCUUUAUAUUAUAGCUUCGGCGCUUAUUGAUGGGUGUGCGUCUGAUUAGGUAGUUGGCGGGGUAACGGCCCACCAAGCCUACGAUCAGUAGCUGAUGUGAGAGCAUGAUCAGCCACACGGGCACUGAGACACGGGCCCGACUCCUACGGGAGGCAGCAGUAAGGAAUAUUGGACAAUGGGCGAAAGCCUGAUCCAGCCAUGCCGCGUGAAGGAUUAAGGUCCUCUUGAUUGUAAACUUCUUUUAUUUGGGACGAAAAAAGGGAAUUCUUUCCCACUUGACGGUACCAAGUGAAUAAGCACCGGCUAACUCCGUGCCAGCCGCCGCAGUAA
rnacentral:rRNA from 1 species